UUCGCAAUGCCCGAAAGGGUGACGAAGCGACGCCGCGUGGGUGAAGAAGGCCUUCGGGUUGUAAAACCCUGUCAGGAGUUAUGAAAUGUAAGUGCGCUAAUAUCGUGCUUAUUUGACAAAGGCUCCAAAGGAAGCCACGGCUAACUCUGUGCCGGCAGCCGCGGUAAUACAGAGGUGGCGAGCGUUGUUCGGAAUUAUUGGGCGUAAAGAGCACGUAGGUGGGUUUGCAAGUCAGAUGUGAAAGCCUUCUGUUCAACGGGAGAAUUGCAUCUGAAACUGCUGAUCUUGAGUAUAGGAGGGGAGAAUGGAACUUUUGGUGGAGCGGUGAAAUGCGUAGAUAUCAGAAGGAACGCCGGCGGCGAAAGCGAUUCUCUGGCCUAUUACUGACACUCAGUGUGCGAAAGCUAGGGGAGCAAACGGGAUUAGAUACCCCGGUAGUCCUAGCCGUAAACGAUGGGCACUAAGUAGA
rnacentral:rRNA from 1 species